CCCGGCGACCGGCGCACGGGUGCGUAACGCGUAUGCAACCUACCUUUAACAGGGGGAUAACACUGAGAAAUUGGUACUAAUACCCCAUAAUAUCAUAGAAGGCAUCUUUUAUGGUUGAAAAUUCCGAUGGUUAGAGAUGGGCAUGCGUUGUAUUAGCUAGUUGGUGGGGUAACGGCUCACCAAGGCGACGAUACAUAGGGGGACUGAGAGGUUAACCCCCCACACUGGUACUGAGACACGGACCAG
rnacentral:rRNA from 1 species